GUUGCUGUCAGCCUGGGUAUAAUAACUAUACUAUUUGUUAUUUUGGAAGCUGAUGCAGAUUUUUUAGUUCUUGCCAGUGGUUUGAUUUUUACAGGAGCUGAGAAUGAUAUGAAUUAAUUUGUUCUUUUCUUGUGGCUUGUUGAUUUUUGGAGCAAUUAAACUGUUUCCUCUCUCCUUUCCAUGCCCCCCCUUCUGUUCCCCCUCUUUCCCUUUUCUCUUGUAAGCUAUGUUUAUCAUAAUAUUUUGAGAGAGUGAUAUAGUUCCUCAUUGUCUCUGCAUGCUCAAUGGAAGGAAUGAGGAAUUUGAAAGGAGUUCUUAAGGGUUGAAGGAUUUUAAAUCAUUAUUUGAAUUGUUCUUACUGUGAAACUUAUAUUACCUCUUCCCUGCUCAUAAAAGGAACUGCAUUUAACCUCUCCCUCCUUUUCUGAGCUUGAAAUUAAAAAAAGCCUUUUGCAUAUUCUGUUUUCCUUGUUAACAUGAACACUAUGAUGACUGUCAUUCAUAUAUUGUAACGUUUAGAGCUCCUAUGAAUUGAAUUGAGGUUUUUCUCAUUUUUGCUUGUCUAUUUUGUAACCUGUUUAAGCAGAGGAAAGGAGGGACAGCCUUUCUAGUAAUUUUGAAACCUGCCUUUAAAAGCUAGCACUUUCUUCUCCUCGUAUCUUGCUUUAAGCAACCAAUUCUU
rnacentral:misc_RNA from 1 species